UCCACAAGUGCUUCCCCUGUUGAACAAAAUGGUGCUUAAGCCAGCACUGUACUUCCCAUAGCUAAUCUUGUGGAGGUCUCCAUAGCCACAAGCCCCUUCUGCAACGUCGUUAAAUGUGGCAGUCUUCCAUUCUUCAUCCUCGGCGCCAUUAAUCUCGCAUGAUAUCAGUAGAACCAAGAAGAAAACUGCGGCUCGAAGCGCAUCCAUUUACACUACUAAGAUUUGAGGCCAAGGGUACCUCUGUUUUCUUUUUGUUGCUUUUGGGGCUUGUAGCCGAACCGAGGGGUAAAGAAAGCGCGCCUUUUGUUUGGUAGAGAAUGACCUUAAUCUCCUUGGUGCGGUGCAGUGAAGGAUUGCUGAUGGCGGAUUAGAAACCUUGAAAAAGUGAUAACUUUGACAAAGAGCUAACUAAUACAGAGUUCACAUUGUGGAAACUUCAGCAGGGCGAAAACGAAGGGAUUCUUGUUGGUCUAUAAUACAAACGAGGGAUAUGCUUUAUGAA